rnacentral:lncRNA from 1 species
GAAAGCUUUGUGUCUGUAGCCAUAGCCCUUGGCAAUCAGACAUCCUCCUCACUAAUGUGAGGUCAGGAGGGGACUAGAAGUGCUCAGAGGAUGGACUGCCUCUGGCCAGUGCAGGGGAGAGGCAGGGGUGUUGAGGCACAGGAGCCAGAUGAGAGGAACGUCAGCAGCAAAGCAGUAAGAAGAACAUGAGAGUUUCUUGAUAGGUGGACAGCACGGAAGAGGCAGUACAUCUUAACAAAAUCAGGGUUCUGGAUGAAGGGAGGGGUGGUGAAUGGUUGCUGCAAUCAACAGUUCAUACUUCAAUGGAAAGAAGGUGGGAUUUGAUUCCUGGCUGCAAAUCUUCACUCUGUCACCUGCUAUCUGUGUGCCCUCAGGGUCUCACUUUGUCUCCCAGGCUGGAGUGCAGUGGCGCAAUCACCACUCACUGCAGCCUCACCUACCGGGCUCAAGUGAUCAUCCCACCUCAGCCUCUCCAGUAGCUGCGACCACAGGCACGUGCCACUAAAUGAUUAUUUUUUCAAGGGAGAAAUCAUGCCUGUCAUACAAAUAAAAAAUGAACAAGUGUAAAAGAUUUUAUUUAACUCAUUAGUUAAUGAAGUUAAAAACUGAUUCAAAGGACAACACAAAGGCCAGAUACACACACUGGCAUCAGAAAUAAUGAAAUAAGUUUGUUAAUUGAUACAAAACUGGCUUCAUCCACAGUGUGUGUGUGUGUGUGUGUGUGUGUGUGUGUGUGUGUGUUUGGCGGGGGGUGGGGUGGGGGGUGGGGGAUCACUUGCAUCUCCACCUGACAAAACUUGUUUGCAUUGCCAUGGACAAUAAUAAUUUGUAUUAUUUUCAGUUUUCUACAGUUUACAGAUUCAAAGACAAUGAAAAAUGGAGACUACCAUAGAAUGACAUAACCUGGAAGGGCACACCAGGCCUGCAUUCCAUAGGGUACAUUUUCUCCCCAUUUCAAAAGUCUUUCACAAUUUUUCCUGGCCACUUAUACAACAGGCUUGAGUUGCAUAAAGGUUUUUCAAACUUUUUAGUGGCGGAACUCUCUUUCUAAGUGAAAUGUAACAGCAAACCCUAAUAUCUAUCUAUAUAUCUAAUAGAUAGAUACUUUAUUUUUUAAUUUUUAAUUUUCUAUUUUUUGAGAUAGGAUCUCACUCUGUCGCCCAGGUUGGAGUGCAGUGGCAUGAUCUCAGCUGACUGCAGCCUUGACCUCCCCAAACUCAGAUGAUCCUCCCACCUUAGCCUGCCAGGUAGCUGGGAGUACAGGUGCAUGGCACCACACCCAGAAAUAAUUUUUGUAUUUUUUGUGGAGAUGGCGUUUCGCCAUGUGGCCUAGGCUGGCCUAGAACUCCUGAGUUCAAGCUAUCUGCCCACCUUGGCCUCCCAAAGUGCUGGAAUUACAGGCGUAAGCCACUGCACUUGACCCGAAUAUAUUUUUUUUAACAUCUCAGAGGGUUAAAAUAAUGUAUUAUACAGUUAAUAUAUGCUUACCGUAAAGAUGUCAAAUAGUACAGAAAGUUAAGUGAAACAUUUGUUUCCCUUCCCUUGCCCUUUCUCCCUGUCCCCUUCUCAUUCUCCAGAGCCACCUACUUUAACAGUUUCUUAUGUACCCGAUAGACACUCUAUGGAUAUAUACAAACAUAUACAUAUAUUUUUUGAGACAGGGUCUGGCUCUGUCACCCAGGCUGGAGUGUAGUGGCCCAAUCUCCGCUCAUUGCAACCUCUACCUCCUGGGCUCAAGCUAUCCUUCCACCUCAGCCUCCCGAGUAGUUGGGAUUACAGGUACACACCACCGCACCUGGCUAAUUUUUGGGGUUUCACCAUGUUGCCUAGGCUGGUCUAGAACUCCUGGGCUCAAGUGAUCCUCCCAAAGUGAUGAGAUUACAGGCGUGAGCUGCUGCACAUAGCAAACACACACACACACAUACACACACACAAAGACACACAUACACACGCGCGCUCGCGCGCACACACACACACACACACAC